AGAGGAAGGACAAGUCGUAACAAGGUUUCCGUAGGUGAACCUGCGGAAGGAUCAUUGUCGAAAUCGAACGGAAGAACGACCCGCGAAUCGUCAUUGCGUACUAGACAGAGCCCGUGAGCGCCUAGCGCUCAUGGGACUCGCGUCGCGUCGGCGUGGGUGUACUCGAGACCAGCGUCGCACCGGCGGACAAACAACUUCAGCACGGAUCGUGCCAAGGAGCAGCAUGGAGAGAAUCGUCGUCCCACGCCUUCGAUAGCCCUCGAUGCGGGACGGGGGGCGGGGGAUGUACGCAAUCUCUACUCAAGUCUAAACGACUCUCGGCAACGGAUAUCUCGGCUCUUGCAUCGAUGAAGAACGUAGCGAAAUGCGAUACUUGGUGUGAAUUGCAGAAUCCCGCGAACCAUCAAUUCUUUGAACGCAAGUUGCGCCCGAAGCCAUUCGGCCGAGGGCACGCCUGCCUGGGUGUCGUGAAUCCCCUUGCCCCUGGGCACCCCGCAUGAGCAUUGGCGGGGAUAUAUGCUCGGGCGCAGAAUAUGGUCUCCCGUGGGAUCGGCAUGCACCGGCAUGUCGAGGUGCGGUUGGCCGAAAAUCGAGCAAUGGCGGUGACGGGCACCACGGCGUUCGGUGGAUCGAAUGAGAUUGGCUGCGCCGUGGGCUCGGCACUAGGCGGGCUCCGGACUUUGAUUACCCCCGAGUGCGAUCCCAGGUCAGGCGGGGCUACCCGCUGAGUUUAAGCAUAUCAAUAAGCGGAGGAAAA
rnacentral:rRNA from 1 species